rnacentral:rRNA from 1 species
GUCUUUUUGAAUUAAAUUUAAAGUCUAACCUGCCCACUGAAAAUUUUAAAUGGCCGCAGUAUUCUAACUGUGCAAAGGUAGCAUAAUCAUUAGUCUUUUAAUUGAAGGCUGGAAUGAAUGGUUGGACGAAAUAUUAACUGUUUCAUUUAAAUUUUUUAUAGAAUUUUAUUUUUUAGUCAAAAAGCUAAAAUUUAUUUAAAAGACGAGAAGACCCUAUAAAUCUUUAUAUUUUAUUUAUUUUAAUUAUAAAGAUUAUUUUUAUUAUAAUAAAUUAAAAUAUUUUAUUGGGGUGAUAUUAAAAUUUAAAAAACUUUUAAUCUUUAAAUCCAUUAAUAUAUGAAUAAUUGAUCCAUUAAUAAUGAUUAAAAAUUUAAGUUACUUUAGGGAUAACAGCGUAAUUUUUUUGGAGAGUUCAUAUCGAUAAAAAAGAUUGCGACCUCGAUGUUGGAUUAAGAUAUAAUUUUGGGUGUAGCCGUUCAAAUUUUAAGUCUGUUCGACUUUUAAAUUCUU